rnacentral:rRNA from 1 species
GACGAACGCUGGCGGCGUGCCUAAUACAUGCAAGUAGAACGCUGAAGCGAGGAGCUUGCUCUUCUUGGAUGAGUUGCGAACGGGUGAGUAACGCGUAGGUAACCUGCCUUGUAGCGGGGGAUAACUAUUGGAAACGAUAGCUAAUACCGCAUAACAAUGGAUGACACAUGUCAUUUAUUUGAAAGGGGCAAUUGCUCCACUACAAGAUGGACCUGCGUUGUAUUAGCUAGUAGGUGAGGUAAUGGCUCACCUAGGCGACGAUACAUAGCCGACCUGAGAGGGUGAUCGGCCACACUGGGACGGAGACACGGCCCAGACUCCUACGGGAGGCAGCAGUAGGGAAUCUUCGGCAAUGGGGGCAACCCUGACCGAGCAACGCCGCGGGAGUGAAGAAGGGUUUCGGAUCGUAAAGCUCUGUUGUAAGUCAAGAACGGGUGUGAGAGUGGAAAGUUCACACUGUGACGGUAGCUUACCAGAAAGGGACGGCUAACUACGUG